AUUUUUAAUGGGUAUAAUUUUUUAAGUUUAAGUUGUGGAUCGGGUGUGGGCAACCCAACACACCCCUCACUCUCUCUCACCCUCCCUCAUUCUUCUCUCUCUCUCCCGUGAGCUCCUCCCGACCCACAGGAGACCUAGCCACUGCCGGCCGCCAGGGACCGCCGGACCACUCCCGUUCGGACCCCCGCCGUCCCCUCUCUCUUUCUGGGCCGGUGACCGGCCGUGCAACGCCGUCGUCCGAGAGAAAACCCGCCGGAGACGCCGGAUAGCCUUUCGCCGGAAAUCCCACCUCCGGCCACCAAAGUUCAGGAUUCUUGGCUCAUCUUGUAGCUCUCAUCAAGGUGAGUAAUCCCUCAAAAGGAAUUGGUUUAAUUCGAUCUUGUUAGGGUGAAAUGUUUAAUUGAAGUUCUAGGGAUUUUUGGAUGUUUUAGUUCGAUUACCCUAGUUAGCCUUAGAAUUGGAUUAAGUGCUAGUUAUGAGAGCUGUUGUGCAUGAUGAGAUGAUUAUUCUGCUAAAAUUUGAGAAGCUUUGGUCCUUGCCGGAAUACGGCUGCCGGCCGGCGCCGCCGCCUUAAGGGUAGUUUUUCCUGUUUUUGAGAUAGUUUUAAUAAGAGGAGUUUAUUGAAGUACAGUUAAUUUUUGAAUGAGUUUUGGUUAGGUUUGGAAUUUUUUGAAGAUUGGAGAGAAUGGCGGUUGUUAGGAUGAAUCCGGCCGUUGGAUUUCCUUGAUAUUUAUUCUAAAAUGUUAGAAUUGAGGAAUUAAGGUUAUGGUGGAGUUUGGUGGAAAUCCGAUGAGCUUAACCCUAGUUAGAGUAGUGGGUUAAGCGGAAGAGAUUUGGGUGUUUAUUUUCAAAUGUUUAAUUUUCCAGAAUUUAAGUUUGGUCCUAAGCAUAUUUAUUGUGCCAGGAUACGAAAGGAAUCUCGCUUGAGUAGUGAUUCGGAAUUCGUCAGGCUUAGGCCUAAAUCAGUGAGUGGACAUUUUGGUUUUUAAUUAAUAUGCAUGCAUGAUUUUAUAAGUUGCCUAUUAUAUUUUCCAAGCUUAAAUUAUAAUUUCAGCUUUUGAAUUGGUUAUGGAAUUUAAUGGAGAUUGACAGAAUGGUUAUGUUUUCGAUAAUGAACUUAUGGAUUUGAGCUUGGGUAAGAGUUUUGUUAUUUGAAUUAUGAUAUUCUUUUGAUCUCCGGAUUUGAGAUUUCUUUAAAGAUUUGAGUAUUGUCUAAUUUAUGAAACAUGGUAAUGAUAUGAGUUAUUUAUUUUAUUAAGCGUUUUAACGUGUGGGACACGUCGUUGAAUUUAAUUAAUUUCUUUACUCUUUGAAU
rnacentral:lncRNA from 1 species